rnacentral:rRNA from 1 species
UACAGAGGGUGCAAGCGUUAAUCGGAAUUACUGGGCGUAAAGCGUGCGUAGACGGUUAUGUAAGUCAGAUGUGAAAGCCCCGGGCUCAACCUGGGAAUUGCAUUUGAGACUGCAUAGCUGGGGUGCGGAAGAGGGAAGCGGAAUUUCCGGUGUAGCGGUGAAAUGCGUAGAUAUCGGAAGGAACACCAGUGGCGAAAGCGGCUUCCUGGUCCAGCACCGACGUUCAGGCACGAAAGCGUGGGGAGCAAACAGG